ACAUGGACAGCCGAAGAUUCACCCCCUUAGAUCGACAUGCCCUUCGGGCUGGGUCGGUCAUGUUCGCGUUUUUUUUAAUUUUUUUUAUCUGUACGUUCAAAACAAACAUUGCAUUAUUGAUCAAAGAAUUGUAGACUAAUGUUAUUAUAUAUUUUUUAAGAGUAAAACGCAUGUACACUAAUAUUGCCCUGUUACUAAUUAUGAGAUUUUCAGGUAAGUUAUUGAGCUAUUUCUGUUUGAUUUGUUAGGAGAUUAGUUUUGUCCGUUUACAAGUUAACCUUGCUUGUGUUAUUCUUGGCAAGUAAUCAUUUCUUAUACAAAUUUUUGUACACUAUAGGCUUAUUAUUUAAAUUUUAGGUAGCGUGUGGAGAUUUCAUCUUAUGUUCAUGAGCGCACAACGUAUAAAAUCAUAAUAAAUGUUUUCUGCUGGUGUGUAGCAGUUAACCGCAUUUAAGUAAAAAUAUUUUUAAAUAAUUGUUACCAGAGCUGAAUUACAUUCAGGUGAGUGCACUUAAUAUAAUUUGGGGUAUUGCAGGAAAAAUUAUAAAUUCCUAAAGUGUUUUUUACUUCCUGACAUGUUUAAAAUUAUUAUUCUCUAUGAGGGUUGUUUGAUACUGCAAGUAGUUUAUCAUGUUUAACAUGUGGAUAGGUUAGGAUUAUUUAUUACAAAUCUGUAAUAUUGAGAUACUGCCCUUGGGUUAGCUGGAUUAAAAAUACAGUGAAAUGUGUUAGGUUAGUAACAAUAUACGUACAGUGAUUCUAAGUACAGUGGAAUUUACAUUUGGUUAGCUUACGAUGGCGCCAAUUAAAAAUUCUGUAAAAUCAAUUGAACGGUUGGAUGUUACUAACCUAAUUUAACCAACCAAUAUGCAUUUACAGUGAUUUUUUAGGUUAUUAUCUCACGUUGCUGCGUUUUGUAUGCAAAAUAAACUUUGGACUCUUAUUAUUUUUUUUAAAUCUCUAAAUAUGUACCUGUAUUUACUCUAAAAAAAGUUUUUCUAAAUUCAGACUUGUUUUUGAGAAAUCACUGUUUAUAGGUUAUAUUGCAUUACCUGUGCAGUAAAGGGCCUGUCACCAUGUUAUUUAAUUGAGUUGCAGAUCUUGUUGUUUUUCAUACACAAAUUGUAUAUUUUUUAUUUGGAUAUUGCAAUGCAGUUACGUAAAUUAUAACAUUAAAAAAGUUAUGGUACUCCUUAUUGUGCAUUACAAACCCAAAGCAUCAGUCCUUGAGAGCGAUAUUUUUAGCAGUUUAUAGGUGCAAAAUUCUGAUUUUUUACGUGAGACAACACAUAACCUGACAUAUAAAAUAAAUUUUCAUUUUGUAACAAAUGAUUCCUUUUAUACGUCAGGUUACGUGGUAUUGCAGGUAACUAAUCUAUGCUUUGCGCCUCCAUACUGCUGUAAAAAAAUCCCUGUCAAGGGUUUGCGUUUUGGUUUGGAUACACAUUAGAGACUCGUAACUUUUUUAAAACAUUUAUUUACGUUUCAUUGGGUUAUAAUAUUCAAAUAAAAAAUAUAUACAUUCUUAUAUAUAUGGAAAACCACAGGAUCUGGAAUGCAAUUUGAGGAAAAAAUGGCGACAGCUGCUUUACUGCAUAGGCUAUCUAGUGUGACCUGCAAAAUGUGAUUUCUUGAAAACCAGUAGGAAUUAAGAAAAGCUGUUUACAGUUUUAAUAGAGGAAGAUUUUUAGUGUCUGAAAAGGUAUUUUCAGAAUUGUAUAAUUUAAUUUAUGGAUAAGCAUCAACAAAAGAAAAUUUUUUUUAAAUUUAGCUAACCAACCAUUCAUAUGAUUUUACAAACUUUGUAUUGUUUAUACUUACCUGCUUGAACAUUAAACUACUGUUAAACCAUUUAUUUAAUUUUUUUUAAAUAUCUUUGGGAAUUAGCGCAGUGUAAUCGAAGACGUUGACUGUAUUGAUGAUUGAUUUACUUUAUUGAUGAGCAACAAAGUUGUAUCAUUGUUGGAUUGGUUAAGAAAAUUCAAGCAUCAAGGGUACUGAUCAAUGGUUUUUAACAUUAUAUUUACUUGAGUCCAUUGGUAAAAAGUUAAAACACUGGAUAGGCUAAAUUUCCAUCGACUGCUUAUGUUAUUUCUUCAUUCUCACUUGAAAACAAUUACAGGGUUAUACUGUAGUUCACAGUUGCAAUACUUGGUUAGGUUAGUUACAUAAGUGCUGUUAAAUCACGAAAAUGGUUAGGGAAAGGUAACUUCUUCAUAACUACUGUAAAAUGGUGUAAGCAAUUCUUUAGGUAAGUUUACCUAGACUUUAAAAAUAAUUUAUUUGGCGAAGUACGUAGUACUAAGAAUUACUAUUUAUCAAAUUUGGUUUGUGUGGAAAAGUUGUUACUCUAGGAAAUUUCUGAAUCCAUCUUUGUAGGAAUAUAAUAUAAUAUUAUUAAGAAACAAAAAAUACAAUGUGUGGUAUAUUUUAAUUUUCUAACUCCCUCUGAACUCUGCAGUUAUGCGAUUAUCGAUAAUAAUUGUAAAUCAUUGCAAUGUACAUCCGACACAUUUUGUAGUGAUUUCACAACUGUACUAUGAAGUAAUGCCAUCAACUGCUGCAAAAUAACAUGCUGACAUCUAUUCUCAUGUAGGCAUUUUGUUGAUACGACUAAAAUAUGAGCAUAGAGGAUACAUAUAGAAUCUUACAAAUUUUGGUAACCUACCUACUAAUACUCUCCCCGAAGACUUUGAUUAGAUACAUGUGACAUGCAUUACAUGAAACAAAUUCAACUUCUAAACAUUUUGCUUGAAUCAAAGCCUAGAUUUGCUUAAGCUAAUAACAAGCAAAUACUUCACUCGAGGCCCUGAGAAACAUACUUCUAAAAUUGUUUAGUUACUUGGAUUGUUAAAUACCUAGUUUUUCUGCAAUAAUGGGCACAAGAGCUUAAUUUUACAACUCAAAAGUUGUUGAAGCAUCAAAUAGAAUUAUGUUUUGCAUAUAAUUUUUUUUCACAUAAAUGAGUAUUUGUCAAAAAGUAUUUGGAAAAAAAUAUCUGUUUGAAAGGACAAAGAAAAAUGUUAACUGUAGUACAUAAAUGAGAAUUUACCAAAAGUAUUUGUGAAUGUAUCAAAAUUCUAACUAAAAUGGUUUUGAAAGUAAUUUAUCAUUCUGAUACGCAUAACUUUUUUCUUUGAUACAUUUAUUUAUCAGUUUCAUUUCUCUUUAGUACAAUCUAAUCAUUUAACUUUGAUUUCUUUUUUGUUUCAGGCUUGUGGAGAACAGCUUUUUUUUAUCUACUCUUUGGCUGGCCAAUGUAAAUAAGCAAUUAUUUCAUGAAUGCAGCGAGAGAGUUUAUUUGAUGUAUUUUAAAAUCACUGAUAAUAUUUAUUGGUGUAUUUUAAAAUCACUGAUAAUAUUUAUUGGUGUAUUUUAAAAUCGCUGAUAAUAUUUGUUUUGUGGCUGGAAGAUGGUAACCAUGGUGACUUGUGAAUUUUUAUGAAGGAUUAAUAAAAAGCAGUAAAAAUUAUUAAUGGUUGUCACAAGGAAUUUUUUUUUCAAUAAUCAAUCAAUCAUCUACACUCUACAGUAACAAUUUUCCUUAACUCAAAUAAUAUUUCAAUACAUAUCUUAUAAAGUAUUCAUAUAUGUACAAUAUAGACCAAUUUUGAGUUAUUCUGAUAUCAGUAUAUUAGUUAUUAUGAACAUAUAAUAUCAGAACUACCAUUUGCAUAUAGUGCACAUACAUACAUAACACUAGCCAACAACCAUUAAAAAAAACACUACUGUAUACACUUAUAUUAAAAAAAAAACAAUUAUAGACAAGUACAGAUUAUUCAUUAUUAUAUUCUAGAGCCAAUUCCAAUAAGUGUAAGGGCGUACCGGUGUUACGAUUUGAAUUAUUGGUGGAAAUAGUGGGCGCCACCACAUGAGUGGGCACGUGGACCCGGCUUGAUACUCUUGCUCAGGGCAUUACGUGGCCCGUGUGAAGCGAGAUAUUAGCCCUCCUGAUUUUUAACGCAACACCUGUCCCUAACUAAGCCCGCUCUCAGCGUCGGGCACGCUUAUAGUUCACCUCAGUGGGCUCUUAGGGCGUCCCACACGCCGCUGACUGGUUAAGGACCCACGUGGCCCCCCCGAACACAAAGACACGUGGUUCAAUUAAGUUGGUUUUAUUUACUUACACGUUACAUGCCAUCAUACAAUACUUCCGUGAUACUGUUAAAAAACGCCCGAGGCACGAAUCGGUUUAGUUGAGGAGGUGGACCACACACGUGGUCGCCUCAAGCCUUUACUUAGAACACGGGUGGUUAAAAACUCCGGAGAGUAUAUAAAUCACUAAUUAAACAGCCCCACCGAUCAAGAGAGACCCUGAGGGUGAAGAGAAAACGAUUUGAAUUAAUUAACUGAACAGAACUACUUAUUGGAGAGACAACGGUGAUGUCCUCGGGGUGUCUGCAGAGACGUCCGCUCUCGGCCGUCUGUAGAAGGAGACUGGGGUGAGACAAGGGCUUGCGGCAGGAAACAUGGCGCUCUUUAAAUAAAAUUACUAGAUACACAUCCAUGACCAGACCGUCUGUAAUAAUUACUUAUGUGAUAAAAUAUAGUUUGAAUAAAGUUAUGUGUUGGUUCCGUCGUCGCCCGCUAGGGAGCGUUCGUGGCCGUGCUUGCACGUACUUUAUUACAAAUAUAUAACAUAUUAAUAAAACAAAAGGCACUCACUUACUGAAUCGUCAUGACACUAUUUUAGGGGCGAAAAGGAAAGGUUACAAUAAUAUUAAUUAUAAAUAGGGGUGUGGCACACUGCAGCUAAGCGCCCUCUUGCCGGGCUACCAACACACGCACGCACUCGCUGGCGGGAGGUUUGAAUAUGAACAGAGGAUGGAGGUGUUUGGACGGUGGCAUAUCGGAUUCGAAAGGGGGCCGCAGGCCCGGAUGACGUCAAGUGUAUUAUCAACAAAAGAAAAUAUUUUUUUUUAAAUAACAAUAUAGCGAUAUGAAGGAAAAUCUGUAUUCUGAAGUUCUUGUAUAUGUUUGGUAUCAAUCAAUGUAAAUUAAUCAAUCUUUGAUUAAAAAAAUCCCAAAAAUGAUUAAUAAAUAAAAAAAUUAUUGCCAACCAGCUCUGGGUUUUGCAUGAGGGUUCAACUUCUCUGACUUCUGAGAUUACAGACAAGAUUUUAAUUAAUAAUACUAUUGGCUUCAUUACUAGAUUAUCUUUCAACCUAUAAUUUAUUAUUUGAAUCAGUUCAUUGAACUCAAAUAUUUGUAGCAAUUUGUUUAAAUGUUCAUGAACUUGGAUUAUUUAACAUACAAAUGUAGGUAGGCUUACUAGACCUUUAAUGCUAGAAGAUUGUAAUUACAUAGGCCUAAUUUCACAUUUACAACUAAGUCUUGGAGCUGAUUUACAUUAAUAUUUGUGCUAGACUUUGUAAUUCUUAAAAUUUUAUUUUCUGCAAUGUUCCAAAGAGCAUUGCUCUAUUUUGGAACAAAACAAUUUAAUCUGACAGUUAGUUACAACACUAUUCUUAAUAAAACAAUGCACAUUAGCCUGUAUAAUAUGAAUUAGAUCUAACAUAAGAACUACAAACUGCACAUUUGCACUUAAAAUAUUCAUCAAACAGUUAAGGAAAGAGAUUAAACAUAACAUUUAACUCUUAAAUCGUCAUACUUAAUUUUAGUUAUCACACUUAUGCUUGUACGUGAACAGGAUCAAUUAUUAGCACUGCAAAUGCACAUUUAACACUAAUAAUUAUAUCAUACACAAAUGAUAUCAGUAACAUCAUACUUCAUUUUUGGUGUUACAGUAAGCUUCCGUAAAUGUUUCUUUUCCUCAGAACAUACAUCAGAAAACUUUUCUUGAAUUUAAACAUUACAAUAAAUUUUUAAAUAAUGAUUUGUUACAUAGCAAACCUUCAAAAUAUGAUUUACUUCCAAUUUUUGGAUAAACGCCAUUGAAGUUUUGCAUUGUUUGCCAUGGAAAACUAUGGAAAUAAAUAAACAAAUAAUUAAAAAUAUAAAGACACAACUGAAUCAGCUGUAGUUGAACAUACAGAACCAGCGAGGGGAAUAAAAAUAUUAUAAAAUAUAAUAUGUUCACUAAAGGUAUGAAAUUAAUGGAGGAUGUCCUACAUUAAUAAUAAUUAGUAACAGAGAACAAAGCAAAUUUGUAGAGAAGAGACUUUUAACAGUAGUAGAAUAAUAAAAUCCUGAUGAGGCUGUUUCAAAAAUUGCAAACAUUCCUACACAUAAGAAGCCCUUAAUUUCAAAGACUUCAGUCAGUAUACUAGUAUACUGCUCACGAUCUGUAAAGGUAAGGUAAUUAAAUUAAUGGGGGAAAAGGUAAAAAGCAUUUGGUUUGUGAUCUUAUAAAUGUGGUCAUUAGAGGCAAACAUUGGAUCUCUGUGUUUAAGUGCUCACUUUUCUGUCACCAAAGUGAUCUGGGUUUGAUUCUCAGCAUGGUCAUUAAUGGAUCUUUUGAUAGUGGGGAACAUAGCAAACAUUGCAGUGGUUAGUUGGUUUUCUCAGUGUGCUUACAUUACUUCACCCAUACAUUCUGUCAUUAUAUCAUUAGCAUUUUAUAGCCCUUCAUUUUUUUGUAAUGAUCUAGAGGUCACCAAGCUGAAAGCUCAAUUCAUUUCCUUCAUUGACAGAUAUAAGGGUUGAGGAUUUGAACCGAGCAAGAUAAACAUUUUAAUGUUGCCUGCUUCGUCUUCUAUAGAAAAUUAAAUCUAAUAUUUUGAAUUGCUCCUGUGCUGCACUACUAUUGAGAACGAGUAACCUGCACUUUUUAAGUCAUCAAAUAAAUUGUUAUAAACGGUUUCACUGUCUACAUAUGCCGGAAUAGUGUUAUCUGUAUCACUUUUGGUACAAUUUUGCAAUUUAUCUUUUGCUAGCUCAAAAAACGAUGUCAUUGUUCACGUUCAAAAGCUGUAGCUAUAGUCCGCGCUUUUCUAUUACCGGUACCGAAGUUACCCGAUCGAGCGACGAACUUCGGAACUGUUCGGGCAUGUCGAUCUAAGCGGGUGAACCUUAGGCUGUCCUAUACACAUGCGUUCCCAAGUGAAGUGGGGAAGCCUACAUUGCACAAAGGUAUUGGGACUAGUGAUGGGCAGAACGGUUCUUUUGACCGAACCGGUACUUUUGGAUCAGUUCCGUGAAAGAUUCGUUCAGAACGAUUCGUUCAUCUCGGUCAUUUCGUUCUUUUCUGUGAAUAGGAUCUGGCUCUUUUAUCAGGUGUCGUAACUCGUUCAUCCUUUAGAGUAUUGGCUACGUGUUUGCUUCCAGCCUCCCCUCGUUAUCGCGUGACCCGAUAACGAGAGGAGGCUGGAUCGCGUGGGUGGUUAUCUUUAUCUACUCUGCAUGGGUAAAUUAAAUUUCAAACGUCUAGUUGUAUACUGACUGUUAUAAAAUUAUUGACUGUUGAUCGCUGCAAAUGCUUCAUGCAGUGAUUCUAUAUAAUACGGGAGCAUUAAAUCUAAGAAUGUUAGGUACGAAAGUGAUCUUUCUUAACUUUAAUUUGUAAUCGCACUAUUAUAGCUAGUACUUGAACAUUGCUUUUCGUAGCCAGUGAAUCACAGUUGCGUAUAUGAAACAAGAUUAUUUAUAUUGUAUUACUUUUUAAGUUACAAAUAUUAAUAUACAGGCUAUUUACACUCUAGAGAGAGUAAAGUGUUUACAUGUAGACCAACACAUUUAGAGAAAAAAAGACAAAAAUUGAAUACUACUACUGCGAUUCAGUAUGAAGAGAGAAAAAUGAAGUAGGUACAUUAAUUAACACCUAAAUGGUAAGUGUGAACAUUUGUAGUUACUUUCCCUGUUAUUUUUAAUUCAUGUUUUUUUUCCCCCCAAAUUUGUGUAAUCGAAUGUGAAAACGCAAUUUUAAACCACUACUUAACAGUUGACAUUUUCAGGUAUAGAUACUUUUCAUGUUACCCUAUUUUAUUUGAUCAGUUAUCGUUUGCUCUUAUGAACAUGCUCACGCUGUGAUUACUAAUUCUUCAGACUCCUGACGUCAUGAAUCAUUUCACGAACGAAUCAGACCGGGCGCGUGGCCGGUUCUCUCAUCUCGUUCUCUCGUUCUCUCCGCGUUUUCGUUCUUCCGAAUCUUUCAAGGUACCGGCUCUCAAAGAGCCGGUUGGAUCUCUCGUUCUCUCCACAUUUUCGUUCUACCGAAUCUUUCAAGGUACCGGCUCUCAAAGAGCCGGUUCUUUACAUCGCGAACGAAUCGCAAGAUUUCGUUCUCUCAAAGAUUCGUUCUUUUUGAACGAAUCGUUAACGAACGACCCAUCACUAAUUGGGACAUGCCCGAACACGCACGAAGGGUUCAGCUUCGGCCUACCUCGGCUUUGUUUUUGUAAAACGUAAACAUUGGUCGGUGGUCGUCUCUCGGGGCGUGCGCAUCUCUCUCGCGGGCUGUUGGCUGGGAGUUCCCUGCGACCUAUUGGGUAACCGAAGGCUGGCAGUGCGUGUUGGUUUUGUGUGCGUGCUGGGGGCGGCCUAGCAGCGCCAACUGCUACCAACCGCGUCCCGCGGGUGGCGGAUACGGGAGCCCAGCUCGAGAGUUGCAAUCUCGCUGGGGUGGCUGUGAAUAACCAAUAGCAGUCCGCGGACCAAUGGCCGGCCUGCGGAGUCGUUAUUACGGCUGUCGGUGUGAAAGGUAGCCUGAAUGCAGCUCGGCGCGUGGCAGGAAGCAGCUUCGUCGGCGAAGGCCCGCAGGGGAGCUCGAUGUGCUGAAAAAAUGCGAAGUGUAGACGAACUGCGGGCUGGAACUUGCGGAGCUGUGAACUGCUGCGCGCGCAACGGAAUUGAAAUGCAUCGGAACUCUGAAGGAAGACAUCAGGAACCUUCAGCUGGGGCUGCUGUAGGUGUGGCAGCAGUAGCCUCGAGCGGCGCGACCUCAAACCGUCUCGGGGAUUUUGGGUGGCGAGGUUGGUUCCCUCCCCCCACCCUGGCUUGAAAAGUACUGCUGUUGACCUGAAGAAGGAAGAUGAAGAUGGCGCAACGUCAGGCUGCCUUUCGCUCCGAGAGCCAGCAGUUCGAGCCGGUUUACUGGCUCGUCUGCCCGCUUCUGUCUUAACUGUGGCUGCCUGGGCAGCUGUGGCUGGGCUGACGUGAAGUCGCCCGCCCCUGGGGGCGCAUGCGCCCCUGGCUAAUAAUAACCCAGGAGCUCCCAACUUUAAAUGUGGGCCGCAAGGCCCAAGCACCCAACUCCACCAAGGUUGAUUUUCAGCCCCUCCAACUCUUCUUACCUGGACCCUUCUUCCUCUUGUCCAGUAGUUACCUGCUUGCUUAUUGCAUGUUAAUUGAUCCCCGCAUGAACCGGCCCAGGGUUUUCCCUGUGUCUAUGCAGGUUUUACCUGGGUCACACUUAGCUAGCUUUUAAGCUAGGCGACCAAUGGGGCGUCAGUCAUGGCGCCAAUCGCAGCCAUGGCUGGCCAAUAAACCCCAAUAAGCACAUGAUGCACGCGCCCUUGUCCUGCAUGGUUAAAAACCCGCAUGGUAGAGUGUAUAGGCUUCGGCCUGAGACACACUUAGGUCCUCCCCUAACCUGGACCCUCCCCUACACACUUAGAAUUAACUUAGGCUAGGAAAAAUUAAAUCGUAAACAUUACGGACCCGGUGUAUUUAUGGUAAUCGAAAACUCAUUAAAUGUUAUGGCAUGUGGAGACAUGUUGCUUAUAUAUUAAACCUUGGACGCCCGAUGCAAAUGAAGAAUUAAUGAAUUGAUCCUCGUUAUAACUGUGCGUUUGUUUGAUUACACUUAAAAUGUUAUUUCUUUGUUAUGAUAGUUAUUAAGAAUGUUAAAAUAAAAAUUAUUUUAUGAGAAAAAAAAAA